AAUACACCAUACUGGUAUCAUUAUUGCUUUAAUUGUGUAAUUAUGUCAGGCUAUUAAAAUAUUGUAACUAUUAAAGAUCAAAGUUCUUUAAUAAAAUCAAAGGCAUAACAUAAAGAAAGACAAUGAGCCUCUGAGCUAAUGAAAUGAUUUUAUUAUCAUGGUUUUUAUCUCUACUCUGUUUUCUGUUUUUCAUAAUGCCCGUGAAAGAUGAUAAUAAGGUAUACAAGAAUGCCAAUCCAGAGGACAAUUAGAAUAUCCUCCUCUCUGCUUCAAAGGGAUAAUUGUCCUCGGCCCUCUAUAUUUCGACACUGUUAUCUUUCUGGAGUGAGCUUAAAGUGAAUUUAGUAAUAAAUUGGAGCCAAUACCUGUUAUCUCCUCACUUUAGGUUUCCAGCCCAAGGCUCCUCAGACAAACACAAGUGUCAAGUCAGAACACUAAUUGGGGUCUCUCUGCUUGAGCGAUAAUUGAACCCACUGAGCGCUUUAGUGACAUUUCAGCUGAAGGUCUUUCACUGCCUUCUCAUGUCAUUGUCCACCUUUUGUGCUCCGGCUCCUCCAAGGGGAUUUUAAAAAGCAGUCCCUGAUGGUAGGUUUAUUAGUCUAAUGACUUUCAUGACCUUUACCUUUGUCGGUUUGAUACACUUUUUAAACAUUUUACUGGCCUUGAAGUGGCAUCCUGAAGGGUAGUAAAAAAAUUACACCUCUUCAUAACCUCAACAAAAAACAUUAUGGGAUUUAGGGGAGGUUGUAAAGGGAAUCGCAAGAACUUUGAAAAAGAUGACCCUUCUGCAAUAAGAAUUUAACCAUUUCAUUAAGCUGGGUGGUGGAAAUAAUAAGUUAAAUGUUGUACAAGAAGAGGAGAAGGUACCACUGUAUGUUCUCAUCCUGUUGGAAUAGAAUAAAAACAACUGCAAUAUCGCAUAAUGUCAUUUUCUUUAGCAAAACUAGAAACUGUGUCUAUAUUAAUCCCCAACAGCCAUGGUUUUAAAGAUCCAUCCACCCUUAGAUCCAUCCAUCCAGCUUGUUUUCCCAGGUUAACAUUAGCCUUGUAUAUGUGGUCAUGAGUUGUUUUGUUUUAUUAUAAAUCAUGAAGCCAAGCUUGUUACUCUUCUAAAUUGCAUUUUGCUAACAUCAAAACUAAAAAUACAGGUUUGGGCAAAAAUAAAUGUAACACAUCUAAACCUAUGACAUUUUGUCAAAUAUAUUAAAAGAACUGGCAACUGGGGAAAUAGUUUAUCUAAUAUUAGCAACUCCCCAUAUAUAAUGUAGUCAAUAUGGAGAGCAUUUGAGUGGAGGAUGAGCAGCUGCAGCUGGGGAGCAGUGGUGGUAGGCGUUGCGCUAAUUAGUAUAUUAGAUCUAAGCCAAACAAAUAAAACAACGGUGAAGAGUUACAUCAAGGGCAUUCUAGGACAUGAGUGGAUUUUCUCAUGAAAGAAAAAAAGGCUUAAAGAAACUAAUAAAUGCCAAGGAUUCAUACUUUGUGAUGUUUGUAUCAUUAUUUGUGUUGGGGUUUUUGUCAGUGUGUGUAUGUGUGUGUAUGGUAUACUUGUUUUCAUGGCUUCAGUGUUUCUCAGUUGGUGCUGGAGGUUCUCAGGUGCGCUGGAUGACAGGUGUGACCUAUCUACUGAUUGCAUGGAGGAGUACUUAAGCGGGAAGCUGCCAGCACUUCGAUGCCAGAGUGUUUGCCUUAGUGGUAACAAGCUCAGCCUCUCCUGAUUUUUUGCUGCGCUUCAUGUGCUCUUUGUAAUUGUUGAAUUUGUUCCCUCGCAGGUUUUUUUGCCUGAGGCUUUGCUUACUUUGCUGAGUCCUGACUUUGUUCCGGAGGUCCUCUGAACAAUCUGGAUAAUCAUCUACUGAGUAUUGGAUCAACCUUCUGGUGGAUUUCUCUGCCUACCGUCUGUACCUUUUGGACACGGAUCAAGCUAGUGGCUUCUCGCUUCCUUCAACCCCAGGACCAAGGCAUAAGCAUACCCUGUUCCUCCCUCCUUCGCAAACAUCGGCACCUGUGCUUCAACUGUUUUGCACCUAACCAGCAGCUGAGAAGACAGCUGGACAACCCCACUUCACAAGCUAAGACUCUGAAUCCCUCUACCCCUGGUGGUUCAAGCAACAGCAAUUUAUUGGAGUUUCCAGUUCCCGUGCCUUAUUACUUCGCUGACAAUAAAACACGUUAAAAUGUUACUUCUGAGUGUUCUCUGUAUGUGGGUCAAAACUAUUGAAAAGGACAGAUUUGAGUCUUUUACUUGUUCUGUGAUGCUUUUUUUUAUUCUGUUGCUUACACCUGCCACCUUGUUUGAAAUUUAACCUUCAGAGCACAAAGUCUCUUGUUUUCAGUUGCUUUUCAAAAUAUUCUUGUCAGGGUUAACACCUGUGAGUUCCUGGCACUAUAGUUUGUUUUCAAUAAACGACUGACACCACGUGUGUCUCGA